AAAGAAAUAUUGUUCAAAAAGCUUCUAACUUUUUUAUAAAGCAUUAAAUUGUUUAU
rnacentral:tRNA from 1 species